rfam:Sorghum bicolor cultivar BTx623 chromosome 9, whole genome shotgun sequence.
CUCUUUUCCGUAUGCAAGUGUGUUCCUCUAUUAGAUGCUAAAGGUUGGUGCUCCUUUUGAAACACCACAAAUGUCCUUGUUGCAUUUGGUAGUAUUCUUACCUUUAGCGUCAAGAGACGAACACACUUGCCCACCGAAAAGGAC